CAGCUAGAGAAAGCCCGUGCGCAGCAGCAAAGACCCAACACAGCCAAAAUAAAUAAAAUAAAAUAAAUUAAUUAAAAAAAUAAAAUAGAGUGGUUCAAGAAAGGACCUUAAGAGUCGCCCAUCAGAUUUGAAAUUCUGUGCAGUAAAGCGGUUCAAGAAAGGACCUUAAGAGUUGCCCAUCAGAUUUGAAAUUCUGUGUGCGAACUGUUUCCCGAGGACAGCUGAAAGGAAGGUGAAGUCUUGGCAUCUCCUCUUCGAAGCUCAGGAUUGAGUUGGCUGCAAGAGAAGUUUACAAGAGAACCUAAAGAUGGAAAUGAAGCAACCUAAGACACUCUGAAGGCGUAGGGUACCAGGUGCCACUGCAGUUCACGCGUUCAGUUACUGAUCUGCUGGCUCAACUCCUUGGCAUGGACAGCCAGGCCUACAGCUCCCUCAGCUUCUCUUUGUGCGAAGGGCACCAGCUGCUUCUGCAGGCCACCUGCCACUGAAGUAUGAGGUGAUGAGAGGAAGACAGAGGCUUCAGUCUAUCUUCGUAAGCUGCAGUUUGUCCUUACUCUUCCCCAACUUCGUGUAAUGUACUUCUUCCUGACUGCUGCCAAUUUGAGCUGAAAUGGCCUCCACCCCAUCACACAGAGAGGCAAGAGCCUUCCAUAGACUUCCUCACUACAAAUGUGUAAGGUCUAAUAUCCAUAAGAAAUCCAUAUUCCCAUGAUCUAUCCCUAACUGAUGCAAGGGAUUAAGGUGUCAUCCCGAAAAUGUAGAUACCGUUGAGAGGAGUGACUCCAGUGAGCUAGUGUUGGCCAUUUGGAUUUUAAUGUGAAUUAGCCCAUCAGCUUCAUUUAUCUAUGACUCUGCUAGUGUCUAAUGCACCUCAGAAGACAGAGUCCUAGGUAUUGGGUAACAGCCAGCUGAGUAUAAGGCAGAGAGGAUGGUGAAGAACAAAGUACAGAUAAUGUGAAGCUCACAGUGGUUCUGGGUUUACUGUGGAAGGUACAUGGCAUAGGAAUUUCUCUGGGGGUUAUAAUAACGCUGAGGGGAGAAGUUCACUGCUCAACAUGAACGGUACUGACAUCACAGUUUUCUGCAUAAUCAUCUGUCCUUAUGGUACAAGUAAUGCUGUGGGGCAGAGAGGCAGCACCUGUAUGCUGACAGCGCCCCUAGUGAAGAGGAGGAGAACUUACACACAGGUCACAGCACUGCCUCUGAGACCUCACUCCUACCCAACUACCUACACUUCCGCAAGUCCACUUAAUUCCAGAAAAAGUUAAAAUCUCUUUCUGACCUUGAGGAUGACAAUAAUUCAGAUUUCUUCUUGCUAUUUAGAGGUUUGGUGGGGCUAGGGAUUUGAGUGUGAAGGGAAAUUAGAAAAGCAAAACUUAAUUCAUCUUUCUGGGGGAAUUUUCUAACUUUAAAUUUUAAAAUUAAGUAUUUUUAUUCAAUUAAUAUACAGUCAUUAUAGAAAAGUCAGAUAAAAUGCAUCAGCAAAAAGAAGAACGUUACAAAUCAUCUAAUUUCAUAAUCUGGAGGUGACCGUUUUUACCACUGAGGUGUAGAAACACAGUUCUAAGAAAGCAGCAUGAAGAAUGGAAAAUGCAUCGAUGGAAGUCAGAAAUCUGCCUUCUCACUCCAGUUCCCCUUGAUUUGCUGCAUGUCAUACCCCUCAUCUAAAAAAAGCUGAGUGUUGAACUUAACUUUCUAUUAAAGUGAAAAUAAAAGGGCAUGAAUAUGGUUGCA